rnacentral:rRNA from 1 species
UACAGAGGGUGCAAGCGUUAAUCGGAAUUACUGGGCGUAAAGCGUGCGUAGACGGUUAUGUAAGUCGGGUGUGAAAGCCCCGGGCUCAACCUGGGAAUGCCAUUCGAGACUGCAUAGCUAGGGUGCGGAAGAGGGAAGCGGAAUUUCCGGUGUAGCGGUGAAAUGCGUAGAGAUCAGGAGGAACACCGGUGGUGUAGACGGCUUUCUGGACCGUAACUGACGCUGAGACACGAAAGCGUGGGUAGCAAACAGG